UACGAAGGGGGCUAGCGUUGUUCGGAAUUACUGGGCGUAAAGGGCGCGUAGGCGGCCCGUUUAGUCAGAUGUGAAAGCCCCGGGCUCAACCUGGGAACUGCAUUUGAUACUGGCGGGCUUGAGUUCCGGAGAGGAUGGUGGAAUUCCCAGUGUAGAGGUGAAAUUCGUAGAUAUUCGGAAGAACACCAGUGGCGAAGGCAGCGAAUUGGCGCUAUAUUGACGCUCAGGCACGAAAGCAUGGGGAUCAAACAGG
rnacentral:rRNA from 1 species